AACGAACGCUGGCGGCAUGCCUAACACAUGCAAGUCGAACGAGACAUUCGGGUCUAGUUGCGCACGGGUGCGUAACGCGUGGGAACCUGCCCUUAGGUUCGGAAUAACUCCCCGAAAGGGGUGCUAAUACCGGAUAAUGUCUUCGGACCAAAGAUUUAUCGCCUUUGGAUGGGCCCGCGUUGGAUUAGCUAGUUGGUAGGGUAAAAGCCUACCAAGGCGACGAUCCAUAGCUGGUCUGAGAGGAUGAUCAGCCACACUGGGACUGAGACACGGCCCAGACUCCUACGGGAGGCAGCAGUGGGGAAUAUUGGACAAUGGGCGAAAGCCUGAUCCAGCAAUGCCGCGUGAGUGAUGAAGGCCUUAGGGUUGUAAAGCUAUUUUGCCCGGGACGAUAAUGACAGUACCGGCAGAAUAAGCACCGGUUAACCCCGUG
rnacentral:rRNA from 1 species